CUGUGACCUUCAAAACAACCCGGAAGCCUCAGGUUUGUGAACAGCACAGGUGGGAUGACAUUUUGUGCUUCCAGGGGCUCCCCCACCGCCAGGCACAUUAGUUUCGUCCUUGCUACCGCUUUCGUUCUGCCUGGCCAGGGAAGUGUCUGUGUCCUCCUCCUCACCUCCAUUUCCUCCACGUGCAGUGGCUGAAAUAGAUCUGCGCCUGCAAGGCUGGAGACCCAACUGUAAUUUCCUUAAGGUUACAACAAAUAUGUAGCAAAGCUGGAGCUGCAACAGGAACACUGGUGCCAGGACCUGUGUUGUUAAUCAGUAUAUGGAUAUGACUUCAUAGAGAUAUACUUUGCUUAUCCACCACAAUGAAAAAUGUAUGGAUUUGAGUGGAAUGGAGCUCAGUGGCUUGAGACCUCUGAUUUCUUCUUUCUCCAUCUUGGAUGACAACACAAGUAAGAGAGCUGUUGAAGUGACCUCUGUAAACCAUGAAACAGAGAAUUUCAAUAGAACAUUCAUACAUAUUUUUUAAUUUGUGAAAGAAUGGAAUACUAUGUAAUUAUUUUUAUGGAAAUGGACUGGCUUAAAAAGGAAUGAGGAAAAGUUAUAGAAGUUAUAAUGAACUUGUAAUGUGAUAAAUGUUAUGAAUAUAUAAUGUAAUAAAAUAUAAAUAUGCAUAAAGUGUUUUAAUAUAUAAAGUGUACAAAAUUAUAAUGUGAUAACAUAUUAUGAAUUCAUGAUGGAGUGUAUAUCAUAAAUGGGCAACACUGUACAAUAAUUGUGCUCUAAGUUUUGGCAGAAUCUUUCAUUCUUAAUAUUCAUGGUGAGACAUGUUUUAGCUUUGAUUCCACACUGGCUUUGUUAAGCAUGAGUUUGGCUGCUGGCAUGAGGUUAAGAAGCACAUGAAGGCAAUGUACUGUCCUAAUGUGUGGAUUCGUUAGUUGUGAGAGAACAGGACUGCAUCCCAUGUUUAGCACAGUGUCAACUUAUAGGUGCUCUGUACAUAGUGACGCAAGUACAAAUCAUUAAAGAUUUGGGAUGAGCACAGAGGAAGGAGAGUUAACCUUCCUGAAGACAGGGAAUGGACAGAUUCUUUUUUUUGAGGAAAGCUCCAUACUUAUGUAUUUCUUUUCUCUAUAAUCAUUUUAAUUUUGUUAGAGCGAUGACAGUUUCUUUGGAUAUCUUCGCUGUGCACUCCGUCAGCAGAAUUUGAUUAUGAAUGUGGGCUCUGAAUCAUUACUGCCUGAGUUUGCGCUCAAGCUCCUACUUAGUAUUUACUUUGAGACUCUGGAAAUCUUUACUUAUGGAAAUUUUGAAAUAGUUACAAAAUCAUUAAAAUUAUAGCAGUAUGUAAUCCUCAUCAAUUUGUUUGACAAAUAUUUAAAGCAAAACACUGUAUUUGCAGCAAAUUGAUGCACACAAGCAUUUCUUUCUUUUUCACUAAGCCUCUCUUACCUCAAUUUCCUCAUCUGUAGUAUUGGGCUAAUAAUCAUACUUGCCUGAUAGCGCUGUCCUGAGAAUAAACAUUAUGAAUGAAUAAAUGUAAGCUACUUAUAAUAUUGUUUCAACCCAAAGUGAGGGCUGCAAAUUGCUUCUUACUUCUGUUAAGUCCAAUCACGCUGUUGAUAAGGUAUACUGAAGAAAACAGAGAAUACCAAGAGUUUUCAAAGUGGACAAUAUUACAUGAAAGCUGUUGCUUAAUGGAUGACUAGGAAAAAUAGAGACUGAGCUCAUUUAAUUGGAUCUAGUCACUGGCAAUUUGUUAAUUACAGUGUGGGAGACCAAGACAGAGCAGCAAAAGGCGGGGCUGGCUUCCUGGCUGAUGAUUAAGGCCCUGCUUUGUUACAAUUAGUGGGGAUAAUUAGACAAUGGCUCUGCUGAGUGAGGGGAUCAAAUGAGCCACUGAAUCAGAACUAUCGGAUUGAAUGAUAUUAGUUGAUUUCCAUUCAUUAAUUUUAAUGAAUUCUUUUCACUGGACUAGAGAUAGAACAGCGUGCAGUCAUUGGUUUUAAUGGUGAGCGGAUGCUGCAGCCGAGCAAUACUGGAACCAGUACUCUGUAGAAAUCUGAACACACCCUUUAGUCCCAGCUGCCCCAGAGUCCCAGCUGCCCCUGCCAGAGCUGCUACCUUUUGUUCUCUACUGGUUCUUUUCAGUGAUGGCUUACUUCACAAAAAUUGCAUCACUUACUCUGUAGAGCAAUCUUUUUUAAAAUUUAUUUUAUUUAUUUGAAAGAGUUACAGAGAGAGGAGCAAUCUUUGAAGGUAGUUUUUGGGGUUGACAUUGUGGUGCAGUGGUUUGUAAAGCUGCCUCCUGUGAUGCUAGUAUUCUCUGUGAGCCCUUAUUCCAGCCCUGGCUGCUCCACUUCCAAUCCAGCUCCUUGCUAAUGUGCCUGGAAAACGCAGAUGAUGCCCCAAGUGCUUGGGCCCCUACCAUCCACCUGGAAGACUUGGAUGGAAUUCUAGGCUCCUGACUUCUGCCUGGCCCAGCCUUGCCUUUGUGGUCAUUUGGGGAAUGAACCAGUCGAUGAGAGAUCUCUCUCUUCCUCUAUCUCUAUAAUUCUAUCUUUCAAGUAAAUAACUAAAAUAAAAAAGGUAACUUUUGCUGUUCACGUUCAAUUGCUUUGCAUGCAUCAUAUAAUUUAUUCUUUAAACUUUUAUCCAGUUAAAAAAUAAUCUACCUUAACGUGAGAAAACUGAAGCUUACAGUUUACAUAACAGUACUAAUGUUCAAACCCAGUUCUUUAUUUUUAAAUAUUUUAUUUGAAAGGCAGAAACGCGAAAGAGAUGUAGAUGUCCCAAGUAGUCCCUUAACUACUGCACUAAAGACCUGCCCUCAAACCCAGAUUUUUAUCAUUUUAGUAUGCUUCAUAACCACUGUAUAUAUUUUAAAAGAUUUAUUUAUUAAUUUGAAAGUCUUACACAGAGAGAAGGAGAGGCAGAGAGAGAGAGAGAGAGAGAGAGAGAGGUCUUCCAUCCGCUGGUUCAUUCCCCAAUUGGCCAGAAUGGUCAGAACUCUGCUAAUCUGAAGCUGAGCUGAUCCAAAGCCAAGAGCCAGGAGCUAUAAAUCAGGAGCUUCUUCCGGGUCUCCCAGGUGGGUGCAGGGGCCCAAGCACUUGGCCAUAUUCUACUGCUUUCCCAGGCCAUAGCAGAGACCUGGAUGGAAGUAGAGUAGCCGGGAGUUGAACCAGUGAUCAUAUGGGAUGGCAGGCAAUGGCUUUACCGGCUAUGCCACAGCACCGGCCCCAACCAUUGUAUAUUACAUGUUACAUCACACUAUAUGUAUUACAUUAUAAUCUCUCUCAUGGUAUCCCAUGUGAUAGGAGCAGUUUCUGUACCCAAAGACCUCACGUUCUCCCUUCUCUCUCUCUUUUUUUUUAAUAUUUUUUAACAGGCAGAGUUAGACAGUGAGAGAGAGAGAGAGACAGAGAGAAAGGUCUUUCUUCCACUGGUUCACCCCCAAAAUGGCCGCUACGGCCAGUGUGCGGUGCUGAUCCGAAGCCAGGAGCCAGGUGCUUCCUCCUGGUCUCUCAUGCGGGUGCAGGGCCCAAGCACUUGGGCCAUCCUCCACUGCACUCCCGGGCCACAGCAGAGAGCUGGACUGGAAGAGGGGCAACUGGGACAGAACCAGUGCCCCAACUGGGACUAGAACCAGGGGUGCCGGCACCGCAGGCAGAGGAUUAGCCAAGUGAGCCGAGGCACCGGCCCCUUCUUCUCUGUCUUUAACAGCCAUAAAAUUAUUUCUUCCUUUAUAUCUUGCCAGUUAAGAUACUUAGAUCUUAAUAUGAGUCUCAAUUAUACUAAUCUUGUACUCCUGAUGAAUUGUGUGUUUAAAAUAUCCUUGUCUUAAUAUUCUACUCUCAUUUUUAUUUUACCCACUUUUUGUUUUUUUUCUUUUUGUAUUUUGCUCACUCUUGAUUUUUAAUACACUAAUUUAUAUAGAUUUUAUAAUUUUUAAAAUUUUAUAAUUUUUAUAAUUUAUAUAUGUCUUCUGAAGAAGUGUUUCACAUAUAUGACAGGAAAUAUCCAAAAAUAAAGAUAGAAUUUUUAAAGAUGGAACAGAAUCAUGGAUCUAAAACCAAUUCCUGGAGCAAGGACAGUCUAUUUAACAAGUGGUGCUGGGAAAACCGGAUUUCCACGUGCAGAAGCAUGAAGCAAGACUCCUAUCUUACACCUUACACAAAAAUCCACUCAACAUGGAUAAAAGAUCUAAAUCUAUGACCUGACACCAUCAAAUUAUUAGAGAACAUGGAGAAACCCUGCAAGAUAAGGCACAGGCAAAGACUUCUUGGAAAAGACCCCAGAGGCAUAGGCAGUCAAAGCCAAAAUUAACAAUUGGGUUUACAUCAAAUUGAGAAGUUUCUGUACUGCAAAAGAAACAGUCAGGAGAGUGAAAAGGCAACCAACAGAAUGGGUUGCAAACUAUGCAACCAAUAAAGGAUUAAUAACCAGAAUCUACAAAGAAAUCAAGAAACUCCACAACAACAAAACAAACAACCCACUUAAGAGAUGGGCCAAGGACCUCAACAGACAUUUUUCAAAAGAGGAAAUCCAAAUGGCCAACAGACACAUGAAAAAAUGUUCAAGAUCACUAGCAAUCAGGGAAAUGCAAAUCAAAACCACAAUGAGGUUUCACCUCACCCCUGUUAGAAUGGCUCACAUUCAGAAAUCUACCAACAAAGAGAUGCUGGAGAGGAUGUGGGGAAAAAGGGACACUAACCCACUGUUGGUGGGAAUGCAAACUGGUCAAGCCACUAUGGAAGUCAGUCUGGAGAUUCCUCAGAAAGCUGAAUAUAACCCUACCAUACAACCCAGCCAUCCCACUCCUUGGAAUUUAUCCAAAGGAAAUUAAAUUGGCAAAUAAAAGAGUUGUCUGAGUGAAAUAAGCCAGUCCCAAAGAGACAAAUAGCAUAUGUUCUCCCUAAUUUUUGACAACUAACUGAGCACCUAAAAGGAAACCUGUUGAAGUGGAAAUGGCACCAUGAGAAACAAUGACUUGGUUAGCUCUUGUCCUGACUGUCAAGGAACAACUUACUAUUUUAUCCCUUUUAGUUUUUUUUUUUGUUGUUCUAGUUAAUACUAUUGGUUUAACUCUUUAAUUAACACAUAAUUUUCUUAGGUGUUUAAAUUUAACUGAAAAGUGAUCCGUGUUAAAUAUAAGAAUGGGAAUAAGAGAGGGAGGAGAUGUACAGUUCGGCACAUGCUCACUUGGACUUACCCCUAACAGUAGAGUUAGAAACGUGCCAGGCGAUUCCAAUUCACCAUCAAGGUGGCAUGUACCAAUGCCAUCUCACUAGACAAAAUAAUCAAUUUCAGUUCAUAAUUGAUCAUAAUGGUAGGAUUAAGUGUCAAAGGGAUCACAUAAACAAGACUAGUGUCUGCUAAUACUAACUGAUAGAAUUAAAAAAGAGAAAACAAUCCAACAUGGGAAGCAGGCUACACAGCAGACUCAUAGAAUGGCAGAUGUCCUAAACAGCACUCUGGCCUCAGAAUCAGCCCUUAGGCAUUUGGAUCCGGCUAAAAAGUCCAUGAGAGUAUUUCAGGCAUGGAAA